rnacentral:rRNA from 1 species
UACGUAGGGGGCAAGCGUUGUCCGGAUUUAUUGGGCGUAAAGAGCGUGUAGGCGGCCAUGUAGGUCCGUUGUGAAAACUCGAGGCUCAACCUCGAGACGCCGAUGGAAACCAUGUGGCUAGAGUCCGGAAGAGGAGAGUGGAAUUCCUGGUGUAGCGGUGAAAUGCGCAGAUAUCAGGAGGAACACCGGUGGCGAAGGCGGCUCUCUGGGCAUUACCUGACGCUGAGGAGCGAAAGUGUGGGGAGCGAACAGG